rnacentral:rRNA from 1 species
UACAGAGGUCCCAAGCGUUGUUCGGAUUCAUUGGGCGUAAAGGGUGCGUAGGCGGCGCGGUAAGUCGGGUGUGAAAUCUCGGAGCUUAACUCCGAAACUGCAUUCGAUACUGCCGUGCUUGAGGACUGGAGAGGAGACUGGAAUUUACGGUGUAGCGGUGAAAUGCGUAGAUAUCGUAAGGAAGACCAGCGGCGAAGGCGGGUCUCUGGACAGUUCCUGACGCUGAGGCACGAAGGUCAGGGGAGCAAACGGG